CCGACAACAUUAUAAGAAAGCAGCUCCUACAUUCAUCAUCCCACUUCAGUUUCAAGGUGACAGCACAUCCUUCAGAGGCCGAAUUUUAUUUUUUUUCACCCAAGCAGUGAUUUGGCCUCCUACCUUCCUAUGCUCACCCCAGAUUAAUAUGAGAAAAAGGUUUCCAAAACAACGCAGAGGGCAUUAUCAUCGACUCGGAGCCUGACGCUCAGCCAUUGAAGAUGCCUCAGCCAGAAAAUACUGCCUCCACACACCAAUCUAACUUCGACCAUCAAACAACAUCCCAUUUGUCACCUUUUUCCUCCGAUACCACACCACACUGACCACAAAUUAUCUCAGUUUCUACUUUCUUUUCAAGCCAAAGAAGAAAAUUUUCUCAUUUUGUACAGAAUCAUCUCAAAACGCACUUUACCUUAGUCCUUAAUUUCUUUUGAUACUCUAUAUUACCUGCCCAUUUUGACGUCAUGAUGAAAUCAACACACAGCUGCUUAUAUAGGCGUUCAUAUCUGGAAUAAGGGAUGUAACAGAAUAAAAUUCUCUACUAAUUUGUCGAUCAAACGGUUUCGAGAGUGUAAACAUCUUAAAAUUAAAAUCAUUAUCGUUCAGUUGGGCUCGAAAGAUAACCUCGAAAUUUUACAUUAAACAUUUUUAGCGCGUUUAUACAGACUUCGAGGACGAAUUUAAAUAAAAUAAAAUCAGGUUAAACAUUUUAGAGUUGAUGUUAAAAAUGAGAGAUGACAAGGCAUAGAAAAUCUACCGACUGCAAAAUCCAAUUCACGUACCUGUCAAAAGCCAGGAAGCGCCAUAGCAUGGCGUGACCUCUUUGCCCGCGAAUAGUAUAUAGAUGGCCAUUAAAUGAAAUUGUAUCAUCACGCAGAUUAGGCACCAUUAACUUGAGUGUAGUCACAUUUUGUGCCGAUGAAGACGUCACGGCAACCAAUCAUAACAUUCAAUCGGGAGCGGGGGCGAGGCGUGGGUGAUCAACUAUCGAUAUUUCCCCGUUUGAAGCUGUGGUAAAGAAUCGAUUAGCAAGGUGUUCGUCGCGAAUACUCUGUUUAUCGAUCCAUUUCCAUAGGUUUAAAUGGCAAAUCAAUCGAUAUAUCGCAAAGCACGCAACUCCAAUGUAAAAUGUCCCAAUGCAAUCAAAGUUGAGCAACAGAGCCUCAUCUAGCUCCGUAGUUGCAAGUGAUGUUUAAAUUGUGCGGGGUAAAUCAAACUUGCAUCAUUUUGGGUUGAUUAAGUCACAGUCCGGCUCCGCUUAUUGACUUUUCGCCGCAGCAUUGCCAGACGUUUCCGAUUUUAGAGAUCAGUAGAACC
rnacentral:lncRNA from 1 species